rnacentral:rRNA from 1 species
CCUACGGGAGGCAGCAGUGGGGAAUUUUGGACAAUGGGCGCAAGCCUGAUCCAGCAAUGCCGCGUGCAGGAUGAAGGCCUUCGGGUUGUAAACUGCUUUUGUACGGAACGAAACGGUUCGCUUUAAUACAGUGGGCUAAUGACGGUACCGUAAGAAUAAGCACCGGCUAACUACGUGCCAGCAGCCGCGGUAAUACGUAGGGUGCGAGCGUUAAUCGGAAUUACUGGGCGUAAAGCGUGCGCAGGCGGUGAUGUAAGACAGAUGUGAAAUCCCCGGGCUCAACCUGGGACCUGCAUUUGUGACUGCAUCGCUAGAGUACGGUAGAGGGGGAUGGAAUUCCGCGUGUAGCAGUGAAAUGCGUAGAUAUGCGGAGGAACACCGAUGGCGAAGGCAAUCCCCUGGACCUGUACUGACGCUCAUGCACGAAAGCGUGGGGAGCAAACAGGAUUAGAUACCCUGGUAGUCCACGCCCUAAACGAUGUCAACUGGUUGUUGGGUCUUCACUGACUCAGUAACGAAGCUAACGCGUGAAGUUGACCGCCUGGGGAGUACGGCCGCGAAGGUUGAAACGUCAAAUGAAUUGACGG